CGUAGGGAGCAAGCGUUGUUCGGAUUUACUGGGCGUAAAGGGCGCGUAGGCGGCCUGACAGGUCACUUGUGAAAUCUCCGAGCUUAACUCGGAACGGUCAAGUGAAACCAACAGGCUAGAGUGCAGAAAGGGCAAUCGGAAUUCUUGGUGUAGCGGUGAAAUGCGUAGAUAUCAAGAGGAACACCUGAGGCGAAGGCGGGUUGCUAGGCUGACACUGACGCUGAGGCGCGAAAGCCAGGGGGAGCAAACGGGAUU
rnacentral:rRNA from 1 species